UUUAUGGAGAGUUUGAUCCUGGCUCAGGAUGAACGCUGGCGGCGUGCCUAAUACAUGCAAGUCGAGCGAACGGACGAGAAGCUUGCUUCUCUGAUGUUAGCGGCGGACGGGUGAGUAACACGUGGAUAACCUACCUAUAAGACUGGGAUAACUUCGGGAAACCGGAGCUAAUACCGGAUAAUAUUUUGAACCGCAUGGUUCAAAAGUGAAAGACGGUCUUGCUGUCACUUAUAGAUGGAUCCGCGCUGCAUUAGCUAGUUGGUAAGGUAACGGCUUACCAAGGCAACGAUGCAUAGCCGACCUGAGAGGGUGAUCGGCCACACUGGAACUGAGACACGGUCCAGACUCCUACGGGAGGCAGCAGUAGGGAAUCUUCCGCAAUGGGCGAAAGCCUGACGGAGCAACGCCGCGUGAGUGAUGAAGGUCUUCGGAUCGUAAAACUCUGUUAUUAGGGAAGAACAUAUGUGUAAGUAACUGUGCACAUCUUGACGGUACCUAAUCAGAAAGCCACGGCUAACUACGUGCCAGCAGCCGCGGUAAUACGUAGGUGGCAAGCGUUAUCCGGAAUUAUUGGGCGUAAAGCGCGCGUAGGCGGUUUUUUAAGUCUGAUGUGAAAGCCCACGGCUCAACCGUGGAGGGUCAUUGGAAACUGGAAAACUUGAGUGCAGAAGAGGAAAGUGGAAUUCCAUGUGUAGCGGUGAAAUGCGCAGAGAUAUGGAGGAACACCAGUGGCGAAGGCGACUUUCUGGUCUGUAACUGACGCUGAUGUGCGAAAGCGUGGGGAUCAAACAGGAUUAGAUACCCUGGUAGUCCACGCCGUAAACGAUGAGUGCUAAGUGUUAGGGGGUUUCCGCCCCUUAGUGCUGCAGCUAACGCAUUAAGCACUCCGCCUGGGGAGUACGACCGCAAGGUUGAAACUCAAAGGAAUUGACGGGGACCCGCACAAGCGGUGGAGCAUGUGGUUUAAUUCGAAGCAACGCGAAGAACCUUACCAAAUCUUGACAUCCUUUGACAACUCUAGAGAUAGAGCCUUCCCCUUCGGGGGACAAAGUGACAGGUGGUGCAUGGUUGUCGUCAGCUCGUGUCGUGAGAUGUUGGGUUAAGUCCCGCAACGAGCGCAACCCUUAAGCUUAGUUGCCAUCAUUAAGUUGGGCACUCUAAGUUGACUGCCGGUGACAAACCGGAGGAAGGUGGGGAUGACGUCAAAUCAUCAUGCCCCUUAUGAUUUGGGCUACACACGUGCUACAAUGGACAAUACAAAGGGCAGCGAAACCGCGAGGUCAAGCAAAUCCCAUAAAGUUGUUCUCAGUUCGGAUUGUAGUCUGCAACUCGACUACAUGAAGCUGGAAUCGCUAGUAAUCGUAGAUCAGCAUGCUACGGUGAAUACGUUCCCGGGUCUUGUACACACCGCCCGUCACACCACGAGAG
rnacentral:rRNA from 1 species